GGGAGUGUUUGGGCUGAGCCCGAGACUUCCAUAGAACGAGGCUGUCCACUCUAGCUCUUUGAAGCCCUAGAAGGGUUGCUUUGGAGGUGUUAGUUUUAAAAGUCUUUCUCUUUUAAGCUGUAUCCCAUCAGCUUUAAUUAUAGCAAUGACUCGAGUACUAUCAGUAGGAGUCCAGAACUGUGGCCGACUCUGGAGAUCCCAAAAUGAACAAAUCAAGGUUCCGGCUCCCAAGGCCUUCUUAACUGGGUGUGCGGACUUGAAGCGUAUUGGUGAGACUGUCGGUGGGGACCAUGCCCCCCCCAUUAUAUGGACUCUGAGACUGGCUCCACAUCCAACAUAUGGUAGGUGUUCAGGAAAUAUUUCCCUGACAGCCUGUCCUACAGACAGCCUGGCAACUUCUGCUGAGUUUGGUAUUUGC
rnacentral:lncRNA from 1 species